rnacentral:lncRNA from 1 species
UUUAUCAAGCUUAGCUUUCUGGAUUCUUCGGCGGAGUGAGGCUUUCUCUAGUAGGUCUGGAGGCACAAAGAAUGAUCGAAGGCUCCAGACCAUAAAGAAGAGAGUCGGAGGACUUCCAUUGACUUUUUCUUCCUUUCACUUCUAACUUCAAACCUUUCAUAUUCAACCUUGAAAAUAAAGGAGGGAGCGGACUACGGAGGCCAUAAGUUUGAGUUCCUCAGAUGUAUAAAAACAAGUCCUCCGGACGACCUAUCCACUGAAAGUAGCUACGUAGUCUUGUCUCCUUCCCGCGUAGUGGGCAUUGACUUCUUCAUUGAUUUUCUUCUAUCUCCCACGUAGCGGUUGAAUAUGAAAGGAAGCCCACAGAGCUGAAGAUGGAGCGGGAUAAUAAAGAAGAAAGCUCAAAAGGAGGGAGCGGACCUCAAUGAACAAGGGGAGGACUCGUUUUCAUCCUUAUGGAAGAAAAAUCUCUUUUUUUUUAUCUAAAAGACGUAGAAGGAGGCUCAAUGUCUAAUCUUUCUCUCAAAUCAAUAUCCCCCAGUGCAAAUAUUCCAGCAAUAUUCUCAAUAUGAAAAGAGCCUUUCUUCUUUUCUUAGAUAAAUGCGCUUCGUAGAUUAUGCUGAAGGAGGAGUGGGCCAUGAUCUUUGCUCCUUAAUUUCCCUAAUGGAUAGUCAUCUGGACCUUUCUUUUUAGUUCUUUGCGCUCGUCAACGCAUAUUUCAUUGCGCCUUCGCCUUCAAUGAAAUCCAUAAAUAAAUAAGGGUAGAUUUCAGACUCAAGAGGAGGGUUCCUUAUCAAUAUCAAUGAGACGGAUAGGCUUUCUUUUACAUUCCACAGGUCUGAAGGACUAUCCAUAUUAACAUGUCUGUCCUUCGCCUAACUAGUUCAUAUAGACCUUUGUUUUUCUUCCGCAGUCACUAAUAUGGAUAGUCCGGAGGACCUCCUUCAGCAUAAUCUAUGAAUGAUCGGAGCAAAGAAUAUUGCGAAAAAGAAGAAAGGAGUGCAAGCGAAAAAUAAUGGAUUGAAUAGUCCUUCGGACGAACUACCGCACUUGGGGGAUAUUGUUGAGAAAGAAUAUUGAAAAAGAAUGAUCGAAGAAUAUUGAAAAAGGACGGAGGAUAGGCUUUCUUUGAACAAUGUGGAUGUAUCAAAGAUUCCACAGGUUAAUAUGGUAGAUUUCAGACUAGUCCUUCACCUUGGAUCUGGGGACUAUUCUCUGUUCUAAUAGACAGAGGAGAGGUUCAAAGAAUAUUGAGAAUACUCGUGCAAGCGCAAUCAAUGAACAAGGUGAAAAGAAUAAAAAAAAGGCGGUCGAUGAUCAGGAAGAAAAAGUCAAAAGUCUAUCCCAUCUUCUUCGUUAGGCGCAAAGAAGAAAAACAAGGUGCAAAGAUCUAUGGCCCAAUUAUAAGGGGUCCAGAUGCACCAUAAGACUGGUCCGAAGGACUAUCCAUAUUAACCGGAGUCUUCAACAAGAUUUCCAACAUUGAAUAUUAAGCUACUGAGGCCCAAUAUUGCGAAGGAAGAACUGCGCCAUAAGACAGGUCCGAAGGACUAUCCAUUAGGGAAUGAGACGGAGGUAACGUUUGGUUUUUUGGGAAACUUGUUGGUCGCGGAUUAGUGCGUUUUUUUUGGAAAGUAACAAUUCUCUUCAGUUUGGUUUCAGAAAACUUGUUGGUCACGGAUUAGUGCGUUCUGCGCCGCCUGGUGUCACAAACAUAUUUUUCCAAAGUGUGUUUACCUUUGGUUAUAUGCUCCGAUUACCCCCAGUUUAUCUCAUGUUUAGUUUGCAUAACUAGUUUAGCUGAUUGCUUUUCAUUCUAGGUCAUAAAGCUUGGGUGUGACGUUUCGGCAUUUUCAUAUGCAAGCCUGCCAGAGAGGAAAAUGUUCAAAAUGUACUAUAGGGGAGGCAUACCAGUUGAAUCCCCGCCCAAGCAUUAGUUGUACUCUUUGCAAGCAACCCUUUUUCCUUGCAAUUGACAGUCUUUAAUGCUUAUUGUAACGUCUAUUUCAAUGUAUUUCUUUCUUUCCCGUGUUUUAUAAAUAAAAUGUCCCUAAAACGCAAACGAAGGUUACGACAUACAUCGACGUUACCCACAACUCUUGGAUAUUGAUCGACUGACUUGUUCAUCGAGUUAGAACAAGUGCCGCACAAUCGUCCGUCUCGAGGUUGAAACGCUACGGUUGUGACAAGUGGUAUCAGAGCCAAAGUUGGCUGAGUGACAGUUUUGACAAAAAUAAAAUGUCGACUGCAAAACGAGCGAGCAAGACCCAUGAAGAACGGUUGGUGGGGAUCGAAGUGCAGAUGCUCCACCUGAUGGAAGUUCCUGAUUCCAUCCGGUUCUUGGAAUAGCGGCUUGAGGAUAUUGCCAAGAAAGCUGAUGGCAUUGAAGCCGUGUCCGGUCGCCUUGACGGACUACCCAUCCAAGAGUUACUGACUAGAGUCGACACUCUAGAGUCCCGAGUUAUGAGAACGGGAAAUGUCACCUACGAGCGUGGGGACAGUUCAUCGGGCUCUGUUGCCCAGAUGGAAGAACGAGUUAUGGAGCUUGAUAACUCGCAAAAGAACAUGUUGGAGAUGAUCAGCGGCAUGACAAAGGAUUUUCGAGCAACCCUCGAUGUCGUGAGGAAUGAGCUCGCAGAGGUAAGCACGAGGGUGAACCUUACUAUGCGAGCACUAGAAAAUCAGGCUCUAGCUGGAGGAGCCAUUCCUGUGGGCAGAAUCAAGAUUCCUGAGCCCAAGCCCUUCUGUGGGCGAGAGAUGCCAAGGCGUUGGAAAACUUCAUUUGAUGUCGAGCAGUAUUUCAAAGCCACGAACACAAUUACUGAAGAGGCCAAGGUGACGUUGGCAACCAUGCAUCUGACAGAAGAUGCGAAGUUAUGGUGGAGGUCCCGAUACAUGGACAUUCAAGAAGGGCAUUGCACAAUCGACACGUGGGAUGCCCUAAAAGGAGAACUUCGUUCGCAAUUUUCCCUGAGAAUGUCGAAAUUCUGGUCCGACGGAAGCUGCGUGAAUUGAAGCACACGGGGAACAUUCGGGACUACGUGAAACAGAUUGCGGGGUAAUGUUGGAUAUACGCGACAUGAUCGAAAAAGAUAAAAUAUUCAGCUUUGUUGAAGGGUUGAAGCCAUGGGCAAGGACUAAGCUAUACGAGCAGAAAGUCCAAGACCUCGUGUCAGCCUAUGCAACAGCUGAACGUUUGUUUGAUCUGUCUAAUGACGUUCAAGAGACAAGACAUCAUUGAAGCUCUUCACCUGGAAGAGACAGAAACAGCCGACUGAGUUCUCCCGAAGCUGUCAGUAGAAAUAAAAGUCCCGGCAGAGACCGCAAGCCCUUCCAGUCAAAUACGGGGAACACCAGGCAAAGGCCCACUAGUCAAAGGACCUCCCACACUCCUAUCAGUUGCUACAUUUGUAACAGGCCACAUCGGACAAGGGAAUGUCCGGAUAAAGCGGCCUUCUACGCCUUCCAGGCCUCUCUGGCUACAGACUUAGGUGACAAGUUGGGUCAACCAGAGAAUGAAGGUGGGUAGGUGGAGGAAGUCCAAAACGUUAGAGUAGGGGCCAUAAGACUCUUGUCGUUCCUUCAGAAUAAAGCAGGGGAGACAAGUGGUCGUACAAAAGGGGGCCUAAUAUAUGUGGACACCUGGAUCAACCGAAGGCAUGCAAAGAGCACUAUGGUUGACUUCAGUGCAACCCAUAAUUUUAUAACGGUGGCGGAAGCCAGACGAUUGAACCUUCACUAGAAGAAGGAUACAGGAAAGAUGAAGGCCGUAAAUUCUACAGCUUUACCCGUCGUCGGAGUAGUGAAACGAGCGGUGAUACAGUUGGAAAGAUGGAACGACCUUGUUGACUUUGUGGUUGUGGGCAUGGAUGACUUUGAUGUAGUUCUCGGAAUGGAAUUCCUUCUCGAACAUCAAGUGAUCAUGAUGCCUGCAGCCAAAUGUCGGUGAUCACGGGAUCUACCCCCACCAUUAUGCAGAUAGAACUCCGGCAACCCAAAGGAUUGAGAAUGGUCUCGGCCAUGCAACUGAGGGAGGGCCAUAUUCAGGAAGACACAAGGCGUGUCGUGGAGAGACGUUGUGAUGGGAAACAGGAUAGUUUGCCCAUGUCAGAAUCGCCUACGAGAAAUGAUCAUCGUAUGGCGCAAUCAAAAUCAUCUGGACUCAGGAGACAGUCAAGGAGACUGUCAGGUGCAGGAUCCACUAGACCUGCGAGAGAUCCGUAUCAAGCACAAGACUUCUUACGGAAGGAAGAGAAUGGGCAAUUGUGUGUCAACAACCGUGUCCUAAAGCAAGCCCCGAGGAGAGGGCCAACUUUUGAGUCCGUGAGUGGGACUCAGCCUGUUGAAGCUUACGCUAAGGCAUAUGGUCCUGUGUCAGGUGGCAUCCUAAUGCAGAAUAGACACUCUGUCACAGCUGAGAGUCAGAAACAAAGUGCCGCAGAAGGUAGUUAUACGAUGUUUGGAAAAGGAAUGCUGACCACGAUACGUAGUCUGAAGGAUGGAAGACAACAUUCCCAGGGGUCUACACAUGGAAGAGAGACGAACAACAUUGCGACCAACCGCUUUGAUACUCGGCCGAAGUGGGCUUUGAGUCAAGAAAAGUGGCAGAGGGACGUGUCAAGGGAAUCCUUGCAGAAAAACUCUGUCAUUGAAGUUGAUGUAAGUCUGGCGGAGACCAGUCAGGUGGAAGAAAAGAAUGGAGUUCAAUUGUGGAAGCUAACCCAAUCUUAUGUUAAUGCUGCAAUGAGUUCGUCAAUGGAUGGAAACCAAUUUGUGGGUGUUUGUGGCGGACAUUCUGUACAGUCCCGCCUUGUUGGUCCCUCCUGUGUUGGUAAGAAUCCUCAAGCUUGCAACAGUACCAAGAGGUGGAAGCUGGAGUCAGACAUCGUUCGGACCGAUCGAGAGGAAGCCUCGAAGUGGCCAGAAAAGUGGGCAGAUAAGAAGCAUCGCCUCCGUGAUUCCCGUGGGGGAGACCAGGUCAUCGUCAAACGGCGAUCUGAACUGACUCAGUUUUUGAAGAAGACUUCAAGAUCACUGCCUCGUGAGAGAACGCGAGGGACAAACAGAAGUUCAAGAAGUCCUUGCUAAAGAAGCAAGGAAAAGAAGAAGACCCAUGGGGGGAUACACAAGUUCGUGGUGAAGCAGAGGAGCCUCCUCAUGGAAGAAGCCUGUGGAAGACGUACAAAUCUUCUUAUAGAUUAUGUUGAAGGAGGCGGCANNNNNNNNNNNNNNNNNNNNNNNNNNNNNNNNNNNNNNNNNNNNNNNNNNNNNNNNNNNNNNNNNNNNNNNNNNNNNNNNNNNNNNNNNNNNNNNNNNNNNNNNNNNNNNNNNNNNNNNNNNNNNNNNNNNNNNNNNNNNNNNNNNNNNNNNNNNNNNNNNNNNNNNNNNNNNNNNNNNNNNNNNNNNNNNNNNNNNNNNNNNNNNNNNNNNNNNNNNNNNNNNNNNNNNNNNNNNNNNNNNNNNNNNNNNNNNNNNNNNNNNNNNNNNNNNNNNNNNNNNNNNNNNNNNNNNNNNNNNNNNNNNNNNNNNNNNNNNNNNNNNNNNNNNNNNNNNNNNNNNNNNNNNNNNNNNNNNNNNNNNNNNNNNNNNNNNNNNNNNNNNNNNNNNNNNNNNNNNNNNNNNNNNNNNNNNNNNNNNNNNNNNNNNNNNNNNNNNNNNNNNNNNNNNNNNNNNNNNNNNNNNNNNNNNNNNNNNNNNNNNNNNNNNNNNNNNNNNNNNUACACAUUUCAGUCUAACGCCCCGAAGGACGUACAUAUCAGUCUAACGCCCCGAGGACGUACAUAUCAGUCUAACGCCCCGAGGGACGUACAUAUCAGUCAAGUGUUCUGCAGAAACACAUAUCAGUCAAAUGCUCCCGAAGGUGCAAAAUAAAUUGGUGAUCCCUACAAGGUAAACAUCCCAAUACAACCUAACAAUUUAUCCCCUCAUUCCAUUCAACCCAUCUUUCAGUUACUUCAAAUCACAAAGUCCUUUCUUUCAACAUCCUAACAGUCAACUUAUUUUACUACAAUCAUAUGUCUGUCAAUAAAAUGCUAAUACAUCAGUCAAUCCACUAUACAGUCAAGUCAAUACACCCCUCAGUUCACCAGCACAAACCACAGUUCAGUAUAAUCCACAUCCAACCGAAACAAAUUCACUAGUUCACAUCCAAUCUUUAUACAGCACAAAUCUAUUAAUAUCAUCAUGUACACAUAAGCAUAAUUUCAGUCAUUCACAAUGUAUACUUUUGGCAAUCCACAUGCAAUUCACACAUCAAUGUAACAUAUAUAUGUUUCCAGUCAAAUACAACAUACACUAAACAUUUAGUCUGCAAUCAAACAUGUACAUCUUAAUCAUCAUCCAUACAGUCCAUCCAACACAAACUCAAAAACUUUAGGUGAGGUCCAGUAGAAAGUCCCUUACCUCAAAGUUAGGGAAGCUCCUUAAUCAACUAACGUCCUCGAAACAAUCCGAUAUAUUUGGCGAACUGAACCCUCAACAAUUCACAAAAUUGGUUGUGAAUUUAUAGGGAGCCCAACGUUACUCCCAACACCUUCAAGAACCAAUUAACAAAUUAGCUAAACAUUCCAACCAUAACACUUGAAACCACUUUGAAACCAAUUACCAUUCAUACUUAAGUUGUUACCAACAAAGCAACCUCGAUAAAAUUUGUAAAACAGAGACAGCAGCACACCUCAACGCACGACUGUCAGACUCGCAGCAAAAAUCCUAAGUGUGGGUCGGUCAGCGGUCGGCCAAAGGAGACGUGGCGGCUGCCUCAAAAUCGAUCAACGAUCUGACGCGGUCGGAGAGUCGCGCGGCAGUGCAAAAAAUAGAGGAGAACGGAAUGGGCGGCGGCUCGAAACAGAGGUUGCGCGGCAGGGCUCCACGAAGACAGAACCAGCAGAGACGGUUGCAGAACCGUGGCUUCGACGGAGACAAAACCGGCGGAGACGGUUGCAGCGGCGGUUACUGCGCGAACGGAGAGAAGGAAACGGAUGGGGCGGCUGGGCUACGGCGGGAAGAGAACGGAAGAGAAAGGAUCGGUGGCGGUUGCGGCUGGGCUGCGACGGGAAGAAAACGGAAGGGAGAAGAGAAAAGAGAAAGGAAAAGAGAAGAGAACGGGGGGGGGGGGGGGGGGGGUCGCGGCGCGCUUGAGGGAGAGAGAAAGAGAGAGUUUUUCUUUUUUUCUUCUUUCUUUCUUUAUUUUUUCUUUUUCCUUUUUAUUAAAAUUAAAUAUAAAUAAACAAAUAUAUAUAUCUCACGGUUAAUAUAUAAAACUAUUAUAAAUGUAAACAAGAUGUGAUAUAUAUAUAUAAUAAAUCACAUAUACAACCUAUUAUAUCAUGCGAUAAUAUUCUAAAACUAGUAUAAUCAUAAAUAGUAUGUGAUAUAUGUUUAAAGGGAAUAUUAAAAAACUGGUAAAAUCAAAAUAGAAUAACAUUAAAAUAAGAGGAAUAUUGUUAAUAUAUAUUAUAUAUACGCGUAUGAUAUACUCAGAAUGAACUAGUUUUAAAUGGACAAAAUAACAAAUGACUGUGGAUUUUAUCUUAUUUUCAGGUGAUGGACAAUUGUAUAUGAUGGCGAUUUGUUAAGAUUCUGCAGCUUGCGGUUAUGAUAAAUUUGAAUACAAAUUUAUAAAACAAUGUAAUAAGAAGUUCAAAUGAUGGAGAAGAAUAGCAAAAAAAAGUUGUCGGCGAUGGAGAAGAUAAUGUAAUGGCUGCCAGAGAGAGUGAACAAUUAGGUUAAGUUAUAUUUUUAGAAAGAAUAAUUAAAUAGUUUAUUACAAAAUAAAGUAAAAUUACAAUUAUUAUAAUAUAUUCUGAUUUAUAAUUAAUUUAAAAGAUACUUGAAAUUUAUUAACAUAUUAAGGUCUUUUGUCUAAAAGUUUCAACUAAUAAUAAUGAUAGUUCUCAUUAACCAAUUGACAAAUGAUUGAUAUUGUCAAAUGAUCGAUAUGUGCAAGUGCACAUUUCAAUUAUAAUAUAGUAAAACGUUCUUAGAGAUCGAGCUAGUAUCCUUUUAAGAGGGAUCAAAUUAACAAAUUAAUUUAUUGAUUUUAGGAUUAGGAUGUGUUUUAAGGAUUAAAAACAAUGAUUAGAAACUAAUAAAAAGAUCCCUAAAAGACAAAUAUGAAAUCUCAAAGAAUAAAAAAUGCUCCAAAAUUGUUUUUGAUUUCACUGUUCAAUCCAUAAAAUCAUGAUGUGUAUAGGUUAUAUGAAAACUAGUGUCAGUAUGUGUUCAGAUGUAGGAACUAAUUAACUACAAGUUGUUGACUUUUGAAAAGAAUAUCUUUCCAUUCAAACAUAAUUGUUCCUAAUCUCUUCCAACUAAGUUAAAUAUUAUGGUAUUAAACAGAUACAUAGUUUGGUUGGUAGUUUCUCUUCAAAAUUAUUAUUUUGAGAAAACAAAUACAAUUUCUUUUUUAGGUAAUCCAAUAUCCUCGAGUAUAUUUAUAAAUAUGGAAAUAUUAUUUCCAUAUUAGAAGAGAUACUAAAAGAUCUUAUUACAACAUCAUUAGAGUCCCAUCAUUUUCUCUAAAUAUCUCUUUUGUGGUGAAAGAUUUGGAAUUGCACAUCAAUCAUUUUGGAGUGGGUAAUUGAUCACCCUAUUUUUCAAAAAAUAAGAAAGAUAAAAAUAGUUAUUUUUUAAAAGAUAUAUUUGAAAGUGUUGAGUUUAUGGAAGGUAUUAGUACUUAUACAACCACAAGACAUUUGAUUUUUGUUAUCUAAAUUAUUUUAAUAAAAAUGUUUUUUUUUUUUUUGAAGUUUAUGCUUAUUAAAAAUGCUUAUUUAAAAAAUGUUAAUGAAAUUUUAAAAAAUAAAAUCUAAUUAAACACUUUUGAGAUAGAGAGGUUUCCCUUGACUACCCGAGCGUAGAUAAACACUUCUGAGAUUUGGUUGGUAAUCCCAAGUUCGUGUGCAGUUGAUUAUUUUUUAAAUUUUGUAUAGUUGAAUAAUAUUUGAAUUUUAAAUUUUCAUCUAUGUGAUAUUUACUCAUUUCAAACUUUUUGAAUAUGCAUGUUUAUUUAUUAUUCUGCCGUCUCUCUAUUGUAUUUUAAAAUUUAGAAUAUGUGUAUUUAUAUUAUUUGAAAUUGAAAAUUUAACUUUUGCUCUUACACUAGGCUUUAACUCUUUGUUUGUCCGUGUUGUAGGUGAGAGAGAAGGAAAAGUUCCAUUGUUUGAUUGAAUUGGAAUUGUUUCCUGCAUGGGGUGUCAUACAUAAUCCACUUAUUACUAGUUAAAGGUCUUCUUUGCCUCUGUCUUCUUCCCCAUCUCCCCAAGUUGUUCUAACCUUUUUAUAUCUACCUAUUACAUGUCAAAAGGCGGAUAAUUUCGCUCUUCAAUGUUUUGAAACAAGUUCAUUAUGAAAAUCUCUCACAAGCAAACGUCAAUGUGCAUUAUGAAUAAUUUCAUCUCAAAAAAAUUGUUUGAGAGGUUUCAAAAGUGUAUCGAAACUAAUAAUUUUAAUGAAUAAAAAAAUAAUUCUUCGUUAGAUUCUUACAUUUUAUUUCAACCAAUAAAAUUUAGGAGAAUUUUUAAAAAUAGCAAAUUUUACAAAAAAUAUUUACAAUUUAUAACAAAUUUAUAGUCAUUGAUAUGCUAUAACGAUAGUUACUAGUAAAUAUUUUAAUUUAUUUUGUUAUUUUAAAAAAUGCUCAUAAAAUAUUAUAGUGAGGGAACAAUGAUGAAUCACAUAGUUCUUGUGGUGAUGUCGCUUUUUCUCCCUCUUUACAUUCUAAAAUCUCAAAUACAAAUCAUAAAACAAGUAGAUAUACAUUCAAUUAACAUGAUUUUGAUUCUAAUAAAUUAGAAAAGACAAAAAUAACUAACUAAUUAUGGAAAAGUAAUAUUUUAACAUGAAUUAUUGAUUUUUAAUUAGAGGUAAUUUUAAAAUAAAUAAAAUAAAAGAAAAUAUUACAAAUCAAAUCUAAACUAACUUUGAUUUUACUUCUUUAAUUGCAAUAUAACAUAGAUACAUUGGCUAUGAAGUGCAAUUUCUUAUAUUAUAAUAUUUAAAAGAUUUAAAUUUAAAAAUAAAAAUAAGUAAUCUCAAGUCCAAUAUUGGACCCGUGGGGCUUAGCCCAUCAAUUUAAAAAUUCAAAAUGCACACUCAACGGUCACAUUUUCCUAGGAUCAUCCUAUUUAAUGCCCUUCUACUUGUCAACUCCAUCGAAAUCCUUCAUUUCUUGUGGCACCGUCUAAAAUUUGCUUCGAUUGAAGAAAUUUUGACGCCCAUGACAGCGUUGAAAUUUCUUCAAUGCAAACAAAUUUUUUAUCUUCCUUUCAUCGAGGAUUUUCAUACCAUGUGAAGGAGAGAUCAGUUCCAUCAGUUCCAAGUCGUUCGUGAGUCAUCUUCUUUCCUGUGUAGUUUUCAUCUCUUGAUUUUGGAUUGCUUGUUCAAGAUUUAUUUUCGAAUUUUGGAUUGUUUGCUAUUCGGAUAGGCAGAAGGUUUGCACGAUGAUAGAUCUGGAGUACCUGAAUCGUUUAUUGAUUCUGUAGUUUAAUCUUAUGAUUUUGGUGAUUUCGAAGCGUACAAUAUAAUCGUACUGUGUUAUGAAGUAAAUAAGAUUUUGUAGGGUUUUUGAAAGUUAAUUUAGAUAUUUCCUGCAUUUUAGUCUUGAUAGAUCUGGGGUACCUGAACCGUUCAGGUUUGCAUGCUGUGAUUGUGUUGUUCUUUUUUGAUUUUGGAGAGAGUCCUUGGGUAAUUUUGAGGAUUGUUCUUUUUUUAGUUUUUUUUUGCAUGCAUUCAAACACACGCAUGGUUUUUAAACUGGGGUUCUUGAAUAUUUGUCGGUUUUCUCGAAUAUUUGCCGGUUUUUUUUUCUCAGAAGAAUUGAUCUUAUAUUUGUGUAUCUCUCUGUGCAACUUUAAUAUAAAGUUAUUAAGGAAGAAGAGAAAGGAGGAAGAAGGGAGAGAGAAAAGGUAGAAACGACCUAAUAGUAGGCAUGAGUAUUAAGAUGCAGCAGAGCCACCACUUAGUGGCGCUAAGGUUUAAUGAGCAAAUUGACAGUAGAAAAGGGUCCACAUCCAUACCUAAGUUACUAUUGCUCUGGGUUCUGUUGGUGGCAUUCAUUAGUAUGUUAAACUACAAAGAAAUGGAUGGGUGGUGUUAACAAAGUUAGAAGAAAGUAAGUUCUGGGAAGUAUGUGUGACCAGACGACAAAGAUGCUUCUGCCUCAACUUAGUGUCAGUGUCAAACUAUGUCCAGGCUUUGGCCAUUCUCAUUUCCAUUUUCCAGUACUUCAAAAUCGUAUCAGCAAUUGAUCAGGAAAAUGUGUUUCGAUUUCUGUCUUUUAUUAGUCUCGGUUAGUUAGGCUUAAGAGUAAGGGAUAUAAUUCAUUUUUCUUGUUUCAGCUAGAAAUUACGUCGAUGUCUUGAUUUUUAGUUUUUUUAGGGCUGUUUGGUUGUUUUUUUAGGGGUGUUUGGUUAGUUAGGCCUAAGAAGUAAGGGCUAGUGAAAGAGAAGCAUUUGAUUGUCCUACAAGUAUCUGAAUCGCCAAUGAAAGCAGAGGUUAUUUCCUCUGAAUUUCCACGAAUUGUUCAGGUUUGGAUUCUGUGAUUGUGUUGUUCUGUUGUUCUCUUUUUUAUUUUGGAGUGUUCUAGGAAAUUUUGAGGUUUGUUAUUUUUUAGUUUUUUUGGCUUGCCUUUAAUCACGCUCGUUUGGGAAUAGACAGGCUUCAGAGAAUGAAUCUCCUUUUUAAGGGUUCGUUGGGGAGCGAAGUGACCAUAUGGCAUCCCUUUCUGCACCUGCUCAGUCUCUCUCUUGCCUUUUUCAUACUACAUAUUUUUGUUUCUCAAUUUAGUGUCAGUGUCAACCAUGUCUAUGCUUUGGCCAUUCUCAUUUCCACUUUCCACUACUCUAAAAAUGUAUCUGCAAUUGAUCAGGUAAAAGUGUUUCAAUUCUCUGUCUUUGGUUCAUCUCCGUUAGUUAGUCUUAAGAGUAAGGGAGAUAAUUCGUUUUUCUUGUUUCCCUCCAUGUAUUGAUUUUUAGUUUUUUAGGGAUGCUUGGUUGGUUUGAAUGCACGAAACAUUUGCUGGUACACGAUUCAAACAGCUUGCCCAGUCAUGUUUUUCUAUUUUUUUUUAAUAUUUUGGAAUUUUGCAUGUGUGAUUUCUGUAUAUAUUAUUCUUGCCCUUUUCCUUUAUCAUCAUUUAUUUUGAUUUUGGAGAGGUCUCUUGGUUAUUUGUUAUUUGCACAUAUACAAGGGUUGAAAAUUUCAAUCCCACCUCUCUUUUAUAUUACAUUCAUUUAGUUUUGGCUGUUAUCUAAUUGAACUAUUUGAUCAUCAAAUAAUUGUGUUACCUUUUCUUCUAGAUGUUUAGAUUCAUUUUUCUCACUAUUUUAGUUUUCUUAAUGUGCGACAGUCUUUGUUUUUUAUUGAACUAUUGUGUGGCAGUCUUUAUUUAUUGGUUAUCUUUAGUUUCACUAUUGUUCUUUUUUUAAUGUUUUCUUAGUUUUUAAUAAGUGUGACAAAAUAUGAAUUAAUUUUUUUCUUUGAACAAAUGUGGAAUUUAUUUUCUUUUAAUGUAGUUGUGUCCCCAAUAAAUUUAUUUUGGCGAUUUAACAAUCCAUCAUGUUCUUUUUCAUUUUUCUGUUGUAUUUUCUUGGUUCUUUGUUGUGGUAUGUCUAUUUUUGAGACAUUCUUAAUUUAGUUUUAUUUCUUUUAGCUUCCUGCAUCAUUUUGUAUUAUGGAUUGUUAUGAAAUUUUGAGAUUAUGCUUUAUUUUGUUUUUUGGUCCUUUGCUGUGAUGUCUUUUGAUUAUUUCUUUUGAGUGAACAGUUCAUGUAAGAUUUUCUGCAUGAGAAUAAAUUGAUUAUUUAAUUUGGUCAAAGAAGUUCAAAAUUUACAUGUGAAAUUUACACUCAGUGGCUGUAAGGUUUAAUGAGAAAAUUGGAAGUAGAAAAGAGUCCACAUUAAUUCAUUCAGCCAAGAGGGCUUGGCAUCCUAAGUUUGCUCUGGGUUCUGUUGGUGGCAUUCAUCAAUAUGUUAAUCUAUUAGGGAAUGUAUGGUUAUAACAAAGUAAGAAGAAUGGAAGUUCUGGGGGAGUAUUUGUGACAAGAGGGCAAGGAUGCUUCUGCAUCAAUUUAGUGUUAGUCAAUCAUGUCUAUGCUUUGGCCCUUCUCAUUCCACUUUCCACUACUACAAAAAUGUAUCUGCAAUUGAUCAUGUAAAAGUGUUUCAAUUUUCUGUCUUAGGUUCAUCUCAGUUAGUUAGUCUUAAGAGUAAGGGAGAUAAUUCAUUUUUCUUGUUUCAGCUAGAUGUUACCCUCCAUGUCCUGAUUUUUAAUUUGGCUUCCUAAGUGUGCUCUAGGUUCUGUUGGUGGCAUUCAUCAGUAUGUUAAUCUACAGGUGAAUCUAUAGUUAUAACAUAGUAAGAAGAAUGGAAGUUCUUGGGGAGUUUGUGUGACAAGAGGGCAAGGAUGCUUCUGCAUUAAUUUAGUAUCAGUGUCAACCAUGUUUAUGCUUUGGCCAUUCUCAUUUCCACUUUCCACUACUCCAAAAAUGUAUUAUCUGCAAUUGAUCAGGUAAAAGUGUUUCAAUUUUCUGUCUUUGGUUCAUCUCAGUUAGUUAGUCUUAAGAGUAAGGGAGAUAAUUCGUUUUUCUUGUUUCAGCUAGAUAUUACUCUCCAUGUCUUGAUUUUUAGUUUUUUAGGGGUGCUUGGUUGGUUUGAAUGCAGGAAACUUUUGCUGGUACACGAUUCAAACAGCUUUCCAUGUCAGGUUUUUCUAUUAUUUUUCUUUAAUAUUUUGGAACAUGUGUAAUUUCUGUAUAUAUUAUUCUUGCCGUUUUCCUUUUUCAUCAUUUAUUUUGAUUUUGGAGAGGGUCUCUUGGUAACUUGACUUUUCUUUUAGUUUUGACUGUUAUCUAAUUGAACUAUUUGAUUAUCAAAUAAUUGUGUUACUUUUUGUUCUAGAUGUUUAUAUUCAUUUUUCCCACUCUUUUAGUUUUGUUAAUGUGUGACAGUCUUUGUUUUUCAUUGAACUAUUGUGUGGCAGUCUUUAUUUAUUGGUUAUCUUUAGUUUCACUAUUGUUCUUUCUUUAAUGUUUUUCUUAGUUUUUAAUAAGUGUGACAAAAUAUGAAUUUAUCUUUUUCUUUGAACAAAUGUGGAAUUUAUUUUUCUUUUAAUGUAGUUGUGUCCCCAAUAAAUUUAUUUUGGCGAUUUAACAAUCCAUAAUGUUGUUUUUCAUUUUUCUGCUGUAUUUUCUUUGGUUCGUUGUUGUGCGAUGUCUAUUUUUGAGACAUUUUUAAUUUAGUUUUAUUUCUUUUAGCUUCCUGCAUCAUAUUGUAUUAUGGAUUUUUUCGAAAAUUUGAGUUUGAUCUUGUUUUUCUGGUCCACUGCUGUGCAGUUUUUUUUAUGAGAUAUUUUUAUUUAGAUUUAUUAUCUUUUAGCUUGUUUUGCAUUUUGCAUUAUAGAUUAUUUUUUAAAAUUUUGAGGUUGUUUUUUUUCUUUGAUCUUUUGUUGCGGUGACAAUUUUAAUUUAGAUUUAUUAUCUUUUAGCUUGCUUGCAUUAUGGAUUGUUAUGAAAUUUGCUUUAUUUUGUUUUUUGGUCCUUUGCUGUGAUGUCUCUCUAUAAGACAUUUUUAAUUUAGGUUUAAUAACUUUUAGCUAGCUUGCAUUGUGGAUUGUUAUGAAAUUUUGAGUUUCUGCUUUCUUUUGAGUUUUGGUGAUGCCUUUUUACGAGACAUUUUUAAUUUAGGUUAAUUUUUUAGGUUGCUUGCAUUUAUGGAUUGUUCUGAAAUUUUGACUUUCUGCUUUUGUUUUUUAUGUCAUUUGUUGUGUGAUAUUCUCUUUAUAAGAUAGAGAUAUUUUUAAUUUAGGUUUACUAUUUUUUAGCCUGCUUGCAUUUGGUAUCAUAUAUGAAUUGUUCUGAAUUUUGAGUUUCUUAUUUUUCAGUCAUUUGUUGUGCGAUAACUUUUUAUAAGACAGACAUUAAGAUUUAUUAUUUUUGGACUUGUUUGUAUUUUGUAUCACGGAUUGUGGUUUUUUAAAUUCAGAGGAGGAACUAGAAAUUGUUCUUGUGAUAUGUUAAAAUCUAGUUUACUGCAAAGAAUGAAUUCUAAAACAGAGGGUAUGAAUAUCGUCAAUAAUUUUUCUCCAUUUGUGCGUUGAGCAAUGUUUAGCUGAUAUGUUUGUGUAUUCUUUACAUUAGUGCAGCACCACAUGCUAAUUUAGGUGUGAAAUGCUAAUUUAGAUGUGAAACACUUCCAAAGAUGACGAGAAAUCAAAGAUUGUCGUAGUAAAAAACCUCACCAGUUUUUCCUUUCAGGUUUUUCUUUUCUUUUUCUUUAAUAGUUUGGAAUUUUGCUGGUGUGAUUUCUGCUUUUCUCUUAUCAUUUAUUUUGAUUUUGGAGAGCAACUUUGGUAAUGUUAAGGUGAUUUAAGAAAAGUUGGUUGUCCAAGAAUCAAUAUUUUUAUAUUACCUUAAAUCUUCCUAAGACAUGUUGGGUCUUUCUUUGGCCUUUGUUAGUGUCUUCUAUUAAGUCUGUUAGUUUCACUUUAGUUGGGUCUUUUUUUAAUUUUAUUUUAUCUUUUAAAUUCCAAAUCCUACUCAUUUGGUCAUGACGAUUGAAUAAUCAUUGUUAAAUUUAUUUCUUGUUGGGAGUGUAGAUUUUAUUUUCUUUUUGGCCUUUGUUAUUUGCAUCUAUACAGGGGUUCGAAAAAUUCAAACCCUUCCCUCUUUUAUUCGACAUUCUUUUAGUUUUAUUUGUACUAUUGGAUUGUUAAAAACAAUUGUGUUACUAUUUCUUACAUUCCAUAAAGAACCCUUUCUGAUGAAUUAUUUCUUAUUGAACUGUUUUAAAAUUUUGAGUUUCUUCUUUUUCUUUUUUGGGUCCAUUGUUGGGGGAUGAUACAUCUUUAAUUUUUUUUUUUUUUUGAUAAGAGAUGAUACAUCUUUAAUUUAGAUUUAUUAUCGUUAGCUUGUUUUGCAUUUUGUAUUAUGUUUUUUGAAAUUUUGAGUUUCUUCUUUUUCUUUCUUUGGUCAUGUGUUGUGCGAUGUUAUUUGCAUUAGGGGUGUUUGGUUGGUUGUUUUUUUAGGGGUGUUUUGGUUAGUUAGGCUUAAGAAGCAAGGGCUAGUGAAAGAGAAGCAUUUGAUUGUCCUACAAGUAAUAAGCUUCUCCUCAAUCAUUCAACCAUUUUUUUAGUAAAGAAAGAGGCUUCUCCUCUGGCAACCAAAGUCCGUCCCUCGUUAACAGGUAAGUCUACCCCAUUACUUUUUAUGUCCUUUUAAUUAAGAUAUUUGGGUCAAUAUAUAUCAAAAUAAAUAAGAUCCAUCUUUGGUAAUUUUUAAAAAAUUUAAAUCUAUAAAUACUCAUUUCAUCUCUAAAAUUAUGUGAUUUGUACUUUCUAAAAUUCCCUCGAUGGUACUAAUACACUCUUAUAUUUGUAUUGUAAUUAUCAUGUCCUUUUUCUAUGGUUUUUUAAAGUUAAUUUAGAUCCUUAUUCGCUCUAGGUAUAAGUUGAAUGGAAGAGUUUUUUAGCCUUGAUAGAUCUUGAGUACCUGAAUCGCCGAUGAAACAGAGGUUAUUUUCUCGGAAAUUCCACGAAUUGUUCAGGUUUGGAUUCUGUAAUUCUGUUGGUUCUUUUUUGAUUUUGGAGUGUGUCCUGGGUAAUUUUGAGGAUUAUUAUUUUUUUGUUUUUUUGGCUUGCAUUUAAUCACGCACGUUGGGGAAUAGACAGGCUUCGGAGAAUGAAUCACCUUUUUAAGGUUUCGCUGGGGAGCGAAUUGGCCAUAAGGCAUCCCUUUCUGUUCAGUCUCUCUCUUGCCUUUUUCAUACUAUAUGGUUGUUGAACUGGGGUUAUUGAAUGAUUGUUGCUUUUAUUUUCAUAAGAAGUGAUCUUAUAUUUUUGUUUCUCUCUGUGUAACUUUAAUAUGAGGUUAUUAAGGAAGGAGAUAAAGGAGGAAGAAGGGACGGAGAAAAGGAAGAAAUGACUGGAUUGUUGGGAUGGGUAUGAAGAUGCAGUAGAGCCACCACCUAGGGGCUGUAAGGUCUAAUGGGCAAAUUGAAAGUAAAAAAGAGUGCACAUCCAUUCAAGCUAAGAGAGCUUGGAUUCCUAAAUUACUAUUGCUCUGGGUUCUGUUGGAGGCAUUGAUUGGUAUUGUUAAUCUACAAGGGAAUUGAUGGUGUUAACAAAGUUAGAAGAAAGGAAGUUUUGGGCGUAUGUGUGACCGGAGCACAAAGAUGCUUCUGCAUCAAUUUACUGUCAGUGUUAAACUAUGUCCAUGCUUUGGUUAUUCUAUUUUAUACUUUCCACUCCUCUCGAAAUGUAUCAACAAUUGUUUAUGUAAAUGUGUUUCGAUUUCUGUUUGAUACUUCUCAGUUAGUUAGGCUUAAAAGUAUGAGAGAUAAUUCAUUUCUCGUCUCAUAUAGAAAUUAUCUUGAUGUCUUGAUUUUUAGGGUUUUUUUCAGCGGUUUUUGGUUUUUUUAUUUUUUUGUUGGAUUUUGGCUAGUUAGGCUUAGAGGUGCAAGGACUUGUGAAAGAGAAGCAUUUGAUUGACCAACGAGUAAUUAGUUUCUCCUCAAGCAUCCCACCACUUUUCUAUUAAAGAAAUACAGGUACGUCUACGCUAUUACUUUUCAUGUCCUUUUACUUAAGAUAUUUAUAUAAAUAUAUAUAAAAAUAAAUAAGAUCCAUCUUUGGUAAUUUUUUUUAAAAUCAAAUCUGUGGAUAUUCAUUUCAUCUCUAAAGUUUUGCGUUUUGUUACUUUUUAAAAUUCCCUCCAUGUCACUAUUACACUCCUAUAUUUGUGUUGUAAUUAUGAUGUCCUUUUUCUAUGGUCUGUUAAAGUUAAUUUAAAUCCUUUUUUGCUCUUGGUUUAUGUUGAAGAAAUGGAAGAUUUUUUUAGCCUUAAUAGAUCUGGAGUACCUUAAUCGCUCUUGCAUUUUGUGAUUCUGUUCUUUUUCUAUUUUGAAGAGUGUCCUGAGUAAUUUUUAGGAUUUUUAUUUUAUAGUUUUUGUCGCUUGCAUUUAAACACAGACUUGGUUGUUGAACUGGGGUUCUUGAAUAAUUGUUGGUUUUGUUUUCUGAAGAAGUGAUCUUAUAUUUGUGUAUCUCUAUGUGCAACUUUAAUAUGGGGUUAUUAAGGAUGGAGAUAAAGGAGGAAGAAUGGAGAGAGAAAAGGCAGAAAUGACUUAAUUGUUGGGAUGAGUAUGACCCCAUGUCUAGUAGUUCCCAAGUAUGAUAUAGGAAGGCAUAGAGUCAAGGCCUUGUCUGACUCUAAUAGAAGUAAGUAGCUAACGCAACGCAAUAUUCUUUGCACCUUCAGUCUGUGAAUUUGAGGUGUAAGAGUUUGGCCAGAGGAGCUAGUCUCGUAACUGCGGGCGCAGUUCUAGUUCUUUACAAGACAGAUGGGAACGGUAGCUAACAAGUGUGCCCUGAGUGGAAUCCUACCACUACUCUUUCUACUAUAUUGGCAGGACGGGUGCCAAGUUAUUAGUAGCUAGGCAGCUAAGCCAGUAGUAGUUCAGUUCAGGCGCUGUUCUCAAAUCUAGUUGACUACGUUGUAGCGUAGCGGUACGGGACAGGAAAAGAAUUGAUAGCGGUACACUGAACACAAAGAAAUUUGAUAGACAUAUGUUGAGAGUUCGACAAGUAGCACUGAAUCUACUAUCAGUAGUGAUUUAUAGAAGUUGACUCGCUUAAACGAAGAGAGUGAACAAAGCAUAGCGGAGUGAAGAGAGAAAUGGUUUCAUUAGAUAGCUCUCUCGAUGUCCUUGUUAUCUUUCCUAGGUAGAUUGUGACUUAUUCAUUCUUUCUCGCUGACUCUGGUUUCCCCGCCGUGGAUCCUUUCUCGGUUAGGGCCUCCCCUAUCCUUAUUCAUUGAUCGCUCUCUUUGCCGCGAAUCUCGGCAUGGUGGUCCUUCGCCUCGCAAUAUUCUUUGCUCCUCCUUCCUGGGCUUGAUGGGUACAUCAAGCAUAUCGGCAUCUUGCUUCUUUGGUGUGGUACACAUAUCUAUCAAUGAAAAGAAAGUAAUAGAAUUCAUUCCCGCAUACUCGCAUAUUGAAUUGCGCCUUCAGACCAUCAAAGAAAGGUCCAGGGUCUGGAGUCCGCAGGAUUUAUCCGGAGUCCGAAGGAUUUAUCCGUAGGACCAUCCAUAUGGAGGGAAGUAGUCCGGAGGAUUUAUUCGUAGGACCAUCCGUAAUUAACAGAAGUAGGACUAUCCAUUAUCCUUCAUCCGGAGUCCGCAGGAUUCUUAUCCGUAGGACUAUCCAUAUGGAAGUAGGACUUGUUUUUAACCAAUCUGAGGAACUCAAACUUAUGGCCUCCGUAGUCCGCUCCCUCCCUUUAUUUUCAAGGUUGAAUAUGAAAGGUUUGAAGUUAGAAGUGAAAGGAAGAAAAAGUCAAUAGAAGUCCUCCGUCUCUCUUCUUUAUGGUCCGGAGCCUUCGAUCAUUCUUUGAGCCUCUAGACCUACUAGAGAAAGCCCCACUCCGCGGAAGAACCUAGAAAGCUAAGCUUGAUAAAGUCCUCCGCCUAAUUCAAUGGAUCUAAUGGACGCAAUAUUCUUUGCACUUGGACCCAGCCUCCAGCUUCUUAUUCGACGUUAGGAGUAUUAAGACCGAAGGACAGACGGGUCCUUCUAUAUAUUCUUUGCACCGCUCUGUGGGUCCUUUCCAUUAAUAGUUAGGAGUCUUAAGACCUCAGUCCUAUCCAUAUUAACCCGCGCUAAGUUCCAUUAAGAGAAAAUUCUUUGCUCUCUGCGACUCGAAGUAAUAGUAUUCAACAAUAUCCCUGUCUUAUGGCGCCUCGCAUAAAUACGGCUUCGAUCAUUCUUUGAGCCUCCGUCGCAAGUCAAAUUCUCUAAUGGAUAGGCCUUCUCCUUCGCCUAUAAAUUCCCAUAUUAAGCUACGAAAUAAAGAAAGCACUACGCGGGAAGAACUGAUCAAUGAAAUUUGAUUGAUUGAAUUUCAUCAUAUCAUAUUUGAAAAAGAAAGAAUAUUGAGGUGCAAAGAAUAUAUAGAAGGCGCAAAGAUCUAAAAAGAAAGGUCCAGAUGACUAUCCAUAUUAACCCAGAGAAAGUUCAGUCAGUUUCAGUGGAAUAAAGGGAAAGCCUAUCCAACAACAUUUCAGUGGAAUAGGAGAAAGGAAGUCCUCCGCUCCGUUGGAGUUGAAUUGGUCCUACGGGAAGAAAAUCAAUGAAGAAGUCAAUGCCCACUACGCGGGGUUAAAGUGAAAGAGGAAAGCCACUAAAAACCUCAAAAUAAUACGGAAAGCCUAGCCUUCUACGGCCUCCAAACAAAAAAAGCUUUACUAGACUCAAAUUCUUUGAGCCUCCGGAGCCUCAAAAAUAUAGCUUAAAGGAAGAGGUGCAAAGAAUAUUGCGUGAUUGAUGCCUCCGUCUCUCUGAUUUAUGGUUAUGGUUCUCCUGAACCUACUCCCUACGGCAAGGCAGAAGACUGCCAAACAGAAGAAAGCCUAGGAGAAGACAACUCCUAGAAAGUUUAAAAGUGGAAUCAAAUAACUAAGAACGAAGAUUUGUUGGGAAGGAAAGCCUUCAUAAGUACUUUCGUCUUAUUUUUAGUCCUCUUUCAUUGAUCUAUCUUGAUGCCAAGAAGAAACUUCAGGAUUACUAACAAUGAACAAGGGAAGCACUACGCGGAAGUUUCAGUUCCUCAGUCGGAAUAUGGACCUCGCAUAUUUCAUUGUGCCUUCUCUCCUUUCAGUCGAGCCCUCAGUCCUAUCCAUCAGUCGAGCCCUCGGGGAGCCUUGAACUUCCUUUAACUGCUUUCCUAUUCCUUUCACUUUUUCUGACUUUACCCUCUCUUUAUUCCGCUCCGUCUUCUUGAAUGAAUCUCAAUUGCAGACUUCUACGUCUUCUGUUUUAUUUUAGUAGGCUCUCUUCUUUUUCAGACGAAGGAUUCUCCCGCUCCGUGGGGUCUUGGACGAGGAUUCUCCCAAGAACCUAACAAAAUACUGAAGAAAGCCAAUCUAGAGACUGAAUACGAGAAACUGAAAGGAGAAAAGCCUAUGAUUUUCAGCAAGCAUUCUUGGAAAGUAACAAUUCUCUUCAGUUUGGUUUUGGAGAACUUGUUGGUCGCGGAUUAGUGCGUUCUGCGCCGCCCGGUGUCACAAUCGUAGUCCUUCAAACAAGAUGUGAACGAUUGUGCGGCACUUGUUCUAGCUCGACGAACAAGUCAGCCGAUCAAAAUCCGCAAAUCGCGGACAACUUUAACACAUGCUUCAACCUCCCCUCACGUUCUUGGAAAAUAUUUUUAGAAAACGUGAAAGAUGAUUAAAUUGAUUGAAAACAUUGUUAAAACAAGCAUUGAAGACUGUCAAUUGCAAUAAGAAAGCAUAGGUUGCAAAGAGUACGACAAGGCUUGGGCGGGGAUUCAACAAGUAUGACUCCCCUAUAGUACAUUUUUAACAUUUUCAUCUCUGGCAGGCUUGCAUAUGAAAAGUGCCAAAACGUCACACCCAAGCAUAUCGACUUGAAAUUGAAAGCAACUACCUAAACUACAUACAAGACAUAAAGACAAGAUAAAUUGGGGCUAAUUGGAGCAUACGGCCAUAGGUAAACACACCUUGGACAAGUAUGUCCGUUACAUUCUCCUCCACCUAAACAGUUGACGUCCCUGUCGACUGGUGAAGCUUGAACUCCUCGAUCUUCUGCGCCUCGGCUUCUAGGUCUUCGACACGUUCCCAACUGGUUUCUUCCACAGGAAGGUUCUUCCACUUUACCAGGUACUCGUGGAUCCUUCUUGUGGGUCUUCGGCCCUUCCUCACUCGUUCGGUCAAGAUUUCUUCAACUUCUUUACUCUCCUUCUGGCUGAGGUUGAUGGCCGGUCGGACUAUGGCAUUACGUUGCAUGUCAUCAGGAUCUUGGUAGUAGGGCUUCAAAUUACUCACAUGAAUUACUGGGUGGAUUUUCAUCCAUGUGGGCAACGCUACUUUAUAAGAUGUGUUCCCUACCUUCUUCAGCACUUCCACUGGUCCCUCGUACUUUCUUAGGAGGCGUUGGUCCUUGCGUCCUCGGAACCGAAUCUGUCCUGGUCGUAACUUAAUGAGAACCUGAUCUCCGACCCGCAACUCUAGAGGGCAGCGCUUCUUGUCUGCCCACUUCUUCAUCCGCUUCGAGGCUUUCCCUAAAGAGGCUCGAGCGAUGUCUGUCGUCUGCUUCCAUUCUCUGGUAAAAUUGUGAGCUUGAGGGUUCUUCCCCGCAUAGGGGUGAUCAACAAGGUGUGGCAGAACUGGUUGCCUUCCGCAAACAAUUUCAAAAGGGCUCUUUUCAGUUGACGAGCUUGUCUGAGCGUUAAAACAAAACUGGGAGACAUCCAACAACUGAGCCCAAUUUCUUUGCCUCGCAGUAACAAAAUGGCGCAAGUAUUCUUCGAGCAUACAGUUGAACCGCUCGGUCUGACCGUCCGUUUGGGGAUGGUAACUUGAGGACACAUUCAGGCUUGUCCCUAAGAAAGUGAAUAACUCUGUCCAAAAGGUGCCAAUGAACCGUCCAUCCCGAUCACUCACAAUGCUUGUCGGUAUGCCCCACAGUUUCACAAUAUGUCUAAAGAAUAAUUGAGCUGUUAACUCCGCCGAACACUGCUUCGUAGUGGGAACGAAAGUGGCAUAUUUCGAGAAUCGAUCUAUGAUGACUAAUAUAGUCUCAUAGUCGCCUACUUUUGGGAGAUGGGUGAUGAAGUCCAUAGAAACACUCUCCCACGGUCUCGUUGGCACCUGCAGAGGUUCGAGAAGCCCAGCAACCUUUGCCUUCUCGACUUUGUCCUGUUGACAGACAAGACACGUCUUCGUGUAUUGCAUGACGUCGUCUCUCAUACGGGGCCAGAAGUAUCCUUUCUUCAGCAAGGCGUAUGUCCUCUGCCAUCCGGGGUGGCCGGCCCACAGAGUGUCGUGACACUCGUGUAGCAACUUCUUCCUCAGGUCUCCUCCCCUAGGGACAUACAACCGUCUCCCCUUCGUCACUAACAACCCAUCUUCAACCCAAAACUGCCUUCUUUUACCUGCCUCAGCUAAACUCAUGACACUCCAAGCCACAGAAUCCUUCUGCAAGAACUCCCUCAAGACAUCGCGCAUAGGGCCAUCAAUCUUGCUUGCUUAGAGAUGUGCUAACAUGCACAAAGCAGCGUGGUCGCCUCUUCGACUAAGCGCAUCAGCGGCCUGAUUGCUCACCCCCUUCUUGUGUUCAAACUCAAAAUCAAACUCAGCUAGGAAUUCCUGCCAUCUAGCUUGUUUUGAAGUCAACUUCGGUUGCGUAAAGAAGUGACAAGUAGCACUAUUGUCCGUCUUCACAACAAAAGUUGACCCCAAUAAGUACUGUCUCCAGGCCCUUAAGCAAUGUACUACGACAAGCAUUUCUUUCUCGGACACGGUGUACCUCCUCUCCGCGGCAUUUAGUUUCCGACUCUCAUCUGGACCUUUCUUUGGCACUGCGGACUACUUCGGUUAAUUACGGAUGGUCCUACGGAUAAAUCCUGCGGACUCCGGACGUAGGAUAAAUUCUGCGGACUCCUUCCUUCCAUAUGGAUGGUCCUACGGAUAAAUCCUCCGGACUACUUAGGUUAAUUACGGAUGGUCCUACGGAUAAAUCCUCUGGACUACUUCGGUUAAUUACGGAUGGUCCUACUUCCAUAUGGAUAGUCCUACUUGUAAUGGAUAGUCCUCCGGAUAAAUCCUGCGGAUGUAGGACCUUGGUUCUUUCUUUCUUUAAUGGAUAGUCCUCCGGAUAAAUCCUGCGGACUGCGGACGUAAGACCCUGGACCUUUCUUUGGCACUCCGAACGGAUAAAGAAAGGAUAAAUAAAGGCGCAAAGAAUAUUGCGAGAGCGGGAAUUACCUUUUCUCUUCAGGUUAGCUAAGAGUUGCCGGAGGCUUGAAGUCGGAUAAUUACUUUUACUUAAAGGUUUCACAAACCUGCAAAAUCUUCUCCAAAUUAGUGUUAGCGUUCUGAGUGCCAAGCAGUAUAUUUAAAAUAUAGAAAGAAGAAAAAUCCAUGCAAUCUAAGUACACUAAGAACCUACAGCAUCGUCACCGCUGCUUGGGAAGGUUAAUUCUUCUAACUCUGGUAUUAUCGUUGAACAAGCAGUUCACAUCCGACUGCCCGCGUAGUGGGGGAAGCUCGCUCGCUAACUUUGCACUUCGGCCAAAAUGCCGAAAAAAGGCUAAGGCCGAAGGAGGUCUGCUCCUUCGCUCAAGGAAAAAUUGCCCGAUUGGAUAUAUAUCUCGGAGCAGAGAGAGGAAAGGAUCACGGAAGCCUUAGUCUCAGUACGAAAGGGGCAAAAAGCUGGAAAAAGCAUACUGGCUUCACCUUGCCCUAGGAUGGGGUCCGUCGGAUCUUUUAAGACAUAGGCUUAAUGCUGAGACGCACGGGGAUAUCCAGUAAAGGAUGGAUAUUCAAGACAAGGACGAAGGCUCUCCGUCACGCAAGAUGAUUAUAAGUCUUAGGAGUGAACUUCCGCUUUACCCCUUCUCGGUUUACCCUUCUUUUAGGAUAGAAAAAGCCACUGCCUGUGUGACCACUACAAGCGGACGUGACGAGCGACGCAGGGCCACCCACGACCGCUAGCAAUACGAGGUAAAGCGGCCAGAAAGCAUACCAUAGGAUGCGUCUUGAGGGCAUUCACAUAAACAUUCUUCGAAUUAUUCACAUUCGACGGGAUGUUCUUAGCCUUGUCUCCAGGUGAAUAAUUGAAUCGGCACCGGCGCGAUCGGACCUAUUGCAGCCUUCGGUUGACUGGUGGCAUUCGAUGGUAUGCUUUGAGGCCUUCCCAACCCGCUCCGUGUAAAAGAGGUAGAAGGAGGCUCAAAGAAUUAUCGAAGAGCGAGACGAAAGAAAAUAGCGACUUCCAGUCGGUGAUGGGAUAUCUCAAUGUUAUCGUAGAUUCAAAGGCGCAAAGAAUAUUGCAUUGAGGCUCGACUGAAAGGAGAGGCGAAUUUGAGAAGAAAGAACUAUAUCGGAUAAAUACUCAACUGCCUCAGACGUCACUGGGACAAGAGCCGGAGAUUCUGAAACCUCUCGCAGCUUCUUUGCUUCCUCUGGUCUCGAUAUUUGAACCGCCUCAAUAAACAACAAAUAAGGGUCCAAAAAAUCAAGGUCAUCUGAAACCCUUUUUUUGAUGCGCCUCAGUCCUAUCCAUUAGAACGCCGGCCCUCACCCUUUUUCUUCUUAGUGCGCACUUGAGCUUUAGUCUUCCGAGUUCUCAAAUUCUUUGACCCUCUGUCUCAGUAUUCGGCAGAGAUGUUGAUGUUAACAAGAAAUGCAGGCUGAAUGCUGUAUGGAAGGAUGAUCAUUUUGGCUUCUUGUAGCCAUUGAUGCUGUCUAAUACUCGGAGAGACAUUGUUAGUAAUGUGACUUUGGACAAGGUUACUGAAGAUAGAACUAUCUGGCCUCAGGUCAGUUUUCAGUUGCUAAGGCAGUGAAGCUCUUUCAUCUUCCUGGUAAUACUGUCCCUUGGUUCAAGCUUCUUUGGGGUAAGAAGCACAUCCCUAGUCAUGCUUUUCUUUCCUGGAUGGCUAUGAAUAAGAGUCUGAGAGUCAAAAUGGCUAUGAAUAAGAGUCUGAGAGUCAAAGCUAAACUGUACAAUCUUUAAGUGCUUCCGUCUGAUUUUGAGGUUUGGAAGCAAAGAAGCAGAGCGGAGUUUGAUUCCUUAUAUCAGGAAAAGAUAUAGGAAGACUCCCAAGAAGAAGAAAGCCUAGGAGAAAGCAAAGAAAGAGUAAGGAUCAGAAAGCUCCUAACCCCUAUUUAUUUAUGGAUGUGAAUUGAGCGAAGGCGCAAAGAAUAUUGCGAAGGUUCAAAGAAUAUUGACUUGAUAAACCUCUAUUUAGCUUCUUAUAUCUGAAGACGAUAAAGUCAGAUAAUCAGCCUUCGGCUGGGUCGGAUCGUCCAUACCUAGUUGAGUAUCUUUGUCCGUCAUAACGAAGUCACUCUUUGAAAAGGGUCGGGCUUUGUUGGAGUUGACUCGGUGAGUACACUUUCAUCUUGACGAGAAGAAGCGCGAACAACAACUAUAUUAUUCAGCCAGAGACCUGAUUUACCCGAUGAGUGGAACGGCUCGACAAAAGUCUUAGGACUCGCGGACAGACGCGCCUCCUUCCUGCUAGAACUCAUAGGUCUACGCGGGUUUUUUAGGUAGCGAGAAUAGUGGUCCCAAACGGAAUAGAAGUACUUUUGAUUCACUGAAUCGGAAUCUUUGAAAGAAUAAAGGGGGACGGAGGAUCAAUGAAAUUUGAUGAUGAUGAGUAAGCUCUCGGUUUUCUUGCUCCUCUUUCUCCUCUUUCUUCCAUAUGGAUAGUCCUACUUCUAAUGGUUAUCUUUAGUUUUACUAUUGUUCUUUUUUUAAUGUUUUCUUAGUUUUUAAUAAGUGUGACAAAAUAUGAAUUAAUUUUUUUCUUUGAACAAAUGUGGAAUUUAUUUUCUUUUAAUGUAGUUGUGUCCCCAAUAAAUUUAUUUUCGCGAUUUAACAAUCCAUCAUGUUCUUUUUCAUUUUUCUGUUGUAUUUUCUUUGGUUCUUUGUUGUGGUAUGUCUAUUUUUGAGACAUUCUUAAUUUAGUUUUAUUUCUUUUAGCUUCCUGCAUCAUUUUGUAUUAUGGAUUGUUAUGAAAUUUUGAGAUUAUGCUUUAUUUUGUUUUUUUGGUCCUUUGGUGUGAUGUCUUUUGAUUAUUUCUUUUGAGUGAACAGUUCAUGUAAGAUUUUCUGCAUGAGAAUAAAUUGAUUAUUUAAUUUGGCAUCCUAAGUUUGCUCUGGGUUCUGUUGGUGGCAUUCAUCAAUAUGUUAAUCUAUUAGGGAAUGUAUGGUUAUAACAAAGUAAGAAGAAUGGAAGUUCUGGGGGAGUAUUUGUGACAAGAGGGCAAGGAUGCUUCUGCAUCAAUUUAGUGUUAGUCAAUCAUGUCUAUGCUUUGGCCCUUCUCAUUCCACUUUCCACUACUACAAAAAUGUAUCUGCAAUUGAUCAUGUAAAAGUGUUUCAAUUUUCUGUCUUAGGUUCAUCUCAGUUAGUUAGUCUUAAGAGUAAGGGAGAUAAUUCAUUUUUCUUGUUUCAGCUAGAUAUUACCCUCCAUGUCCUGAUUUUUAAUUUGGCUUCCUAAGUGUGCUCUAGGUUCUGUUGGUAGCAUUCGUCAGUAUGUUAAUCUACAGGUGAAUCUAUAGUUAUAACAUAGUAAGAAGAAUGGAAGUUCUUGGGGAGUUUGUGUGACAAGAGGGCAAGGAUGCUUCUGCAUUAAUUUAGUAUCAGUGUCAACCAUGUUUAUGCUUUGGCCAUUCUCAUUUCCACUUUCCACUACUCCAAAAAUGUAUUAUCUGCAAUUGAUCAGGUAAAAGUGUUUCAAUUUUCUGUCUUUGGUUCAUCUCAGUUAGUUAGUCUUAAGAGUAAGGGAGAUAAUUCGUUUUUCUUGUUUCAGCUAGAUAUUACUCUCCAUGUCUUGAUUUUUAGUUUUUUAGGGGUGCUUGGUUGGUUUGAAUGCAGGAAACUUUUGCUGGUAAACGAUUCAAACAGCUUUCCAUGUCAGGUUUUUCUAUUAUUUUUCUUUAAUAUUUUGGAACAUGUGUAAUUUCUGUAUAUAUUUUCUUGCCGUUUUCCUUUUUCAUCAUUUAUUUUGAUUUUGGAGAGGGUCUCUUGGUAACUUGACUUUUCUUUUAGUUUUGACUUGGGAACAUGUGCAUUGUGGAUUGUUAUGAAAUUUUGAGUUUCUGCUUUCUUUUGAGUUUUGGUGAUGCCUUUUUACGAGACAUUUUUAAUUUAGGUUAAUUUUUUAGGUUGCUUGCAUUUAUGGAUUGUUCUGAAAUUUUGACUUUCUGCUUUUGUUUUUUAUGUCAUUUGUUGUGUGAUAUUCUCUUUAUAAGAUAGAGAUAUUUUUAAUUUAGGUUUACUAUUUUUUAGCCUGCUUGCAUUUGGUAUCAUAUAUGAAUUGUUCUGAAUUUUGAGUUUCUUCUUUUUCAGUCAUUUGUUGUGCGAUAACUUUUUAUAAGACAGACAUUAAGAUUUAUUAUUUUUGGACUUGUUUGUAUUUUGUAUCACGGAUUGUGGUUUUUUAAAUUCAGAGGAGGAACUAGAAAUUGUUCUUGUGAUAUGUUAAAAUCUAGUUUACUGCAAAGAAUGAAUUCUAAAACAGAGGGUAUGAAUGUCGUCAAUAAUUUUUCUCCAUUUCUGCGUUGAGUAAUGUUUAGCUGAUAUGUUUGUGUAUUCUUUACAUUAGUGCAGCACCACAUGCUAAUUUAGGUGUGAAAUGCUAAUUUAGAUGUGAAACAAUUCCAAAGAUGACGAGAAAUCAAAGAUUGUCGUAGUAAAAAACCUCACCAGUUUUUCAGUUUUUCUUUUCUUUUUCUUUAAUAGUUUGAGUUUUUCCUUUCAGGUUUUUCUUUUCUUUUUCUUUAAUGGUUUGGAAUUUUGCUGGUGUGAUUUCUGCUUUUCUCUUAUCAUUUAUUUUUGAUUUUGGAGAGCAACUUUGGUAAUGUUAAGGUGAUUUAAGAAAAGUUGGUUGUCCAAGAAUCAAUUUUUUUAUAUUACCUUAAAUCUUCCUAAGACAUGUUGGGUCUUUCUUUGGCCUUUGUUAGUGUCUUCUAUUAAGUCUGUUAGUUUCACUUUAGUUGGGUCUUUUUUUAAUUUUAUUUUAGCUUUUAAAUUCCAAAUCCUACUCAUUUGGUCAUGACGAUUGAAUAAUCAUUGUUAAAUUUAUUUCUUGUUGGGAGUGUAGAUUUUAUUUUCUUUUUGGCCUUUGUUAUUUGCAUCUAUACAGGGGUUCGAAAAAUUCAAACCCUUCCCUCUUUUAUUCGACAUUCUUUUAGUUUUAUUAGUACUAUUGGAUUGUUAAAAAUAAUUGUGUUACUAUUUCUUACAUUCCAUAAAGAACCCUUUCUGAUGGAUUAUUUCUUAUUGAACUGUUUUAAAAUUUUGAGUUUCUUCUUUUUCUUUUUUGGGUCCAUUGUUGGGGGAUGAUACAUCUUUAAUUUAGAUUUAUUAUCGUUAGCUUGUUUUGCAUUUUGUAUUAUGUUUUUUGAAAUUUUGAGUUUCUUCUUUUUCUUUCUUUGGUCAUGUGUUGUGCGAUGUUAUUUGCAUUAGGGGUGUUUGGUUGGUUGUUUUUUUAGGGGUGUUUUGGUUAGUUAGGCUUAAGAAGCAAGGGCUAGUGAAAGAGAAGCAUUUGAUUGUACUACAAGUAAUAAGCUUCUCCUCAAUCAUUCAACCAUUUUUUUAGUAAAGAAAGAGGCUUCUCCUCUGGCAACCAAAGUCCGUCCCUCGUUAACAGGUAAGUCUACCCCAUUACUUUUUAUGUCCUUUUAAUUAAGAUAUUUGGGUCAAUAUAUAUCAAAAUAAAUAAGAUCCAUCUUUGGUAAUUUUUAAAAAAAUUAAAUCUAUAAAUACUCAUUUCAUCUCUAAAAUUAUGUGAUUUGUACUUUCUAAAAUUCCCUCGAUGGUACUAAUACACUCUUAUAUUUGUAUUGUAAUUAUCAUGUCCUUUUUCUAUGGUUUUUUAAAGUUAAUUUAGAUCCUUAUUCGCUCUAGGUAUAAGUUGAAUGGAAGAGUUUUUUAGCCUUGAUAGAUCUUGAGUACCUGAAUCGCCGAUGAAACAGAGGUUAUUUUCUCGGAAAUUCCACGAAUUGUUCAGGUUUGGAUUCUGUAAUUCUGUUGUUCUUUUUUGAUUUUGGAGAGUGUCCUGGGUAAUUUUGAGGAUUAUUAUUUUUUUGUUUUUUUGGCUUGCAUUUAAUCACGCGCGUUGGGGAAUAGACAGGCUUCGGAGAAUGAAUCACCUUUUUAAGGUUUCGCUGGGGAGCGAAUUGGCCAUAAGGCAUCCCUUUCUGUUCAGUCUCUCUCUUGCCUUUUUCAUACUAUAUGGUUGUUGAUCUGGGGUUAUUAAAUGAUUGUUGCUUUUAUUUUCAUAAGAAGUGAUUUUAUAUUUUUGUUUCUCUCUGUGCAACUUUAAUAUGAGGUUAUUAAGGAAGGAGAUAAAGGAGGAAGAAGGGACGGAGAAAAGGAAGAAAUGACUGGAUUGUUGGGAUGGGUAUGAAGAUGCAGUAGAGCCACCACCUAGGGGCUGUAAGGUCUAAUGGGCAAAUUGAAAGUAAAAAAGAGUGCACAUCCAUUCAAGCUAAGAGAGCUUGGGUUCCUAAAUUACUAUUGCUCUGGGUUCUGUUGGUGGCAUUGAUUGGUAUUGUUAAUCUACAAGGGAAUUGAUGGUGUUAACAAAGUUAGAAGAAAGGAAGUUUUGGGCGUAUGUGUGACCAGAGGACAAAGAUGCUUCUGCAUCAAUUUACUGUCAGUGUUAAACUAUGUCCAUGCUUUGGUUAUUUUAUUUUCUACUUUCCACUCCUCUCGAAAUGUAUCAGCAAUUGUUCAUGUAAAUGUGUUUCGAUUUCCGUCUUUGAUACUUCUCAGUUAGUUAGGCUUAAAAGUAUGAGAGAUAAUUCAUUUCUCGUCUCAUAUAGAAAUUAUCUUGAUGUCUUGAUUUUUAGGGUUUUUUCAGCGGUUUUUGUUUUUGUUUUUUUUUUUUUUGUUGGAUUUUGGCUAGUUAGGCUUAGAGGUGUAAGGACUUGUGAAAGAGAAGCAUUUGAUUGACCAACGAGUAAUUCUCCUCAGGCAUCCCACCACUUUUCUAUUAAAGAAAUACAGGUACGUCUACGCUAUUACUUUUCAUGUCCUUUUACCUAAGAUAUUUAUAUAAAUAUAUAUAAAAAUAAAUAAGAUCCAUCUUUGGUAAUUUUUUAAAAAUCAAAUAUGUGAAUAUUCAUUUCAUCUCUAAAAUUUUGCGUUUUGUUACUUUUUAAAAUCCCCUCCAUGUUACUAUUACACUCUUAUAUUUGUGUUGUAAUUAUGAUGUCCUUUUUCUUUGGUCUUUUAAAGUUAACUUAAAUCCUUAUUUGCUCUUGGUUUAUGUUGAAGAAAUGGAAGAGUUUUUUAGCCUUAAUAGAUCUGGAGUACCUUAAUCGCUCUUGCAUUUUGUGAUUCUGUUGUUCUUUUUCUAUUUUGAAGAGUGUCCUUAGUAAUUUUUAGGAUUUUUAUUUUAUAGUUUUUGUCGCUUGCAUUUAAACACAGACUUGGUUGUUGAACUGGGGUUCUUGAAUAAUUGUUGGUUUUGUUUUCUGAAGAAGUGAUCUUAUAUUUGUGUAUCUCUAUGUGCAACUUUAAUAUGGGGUUAUUAAGGAUGGAGAUAAAGGAGGAAGAAUGGAGAGAGAAAAGGCAGAAAUGGACUUAAUUGUUGGGAUGAGUAUGACCCCAUGUCUAGUAGUUCCCAAGUAUGAUAUAGGAAGGCAGAGAGUCAAGGCCUUGUCUGACUCUAAUAGAAGUAAGUAGCUAACGCAACGCAAUAUUCUUUGCACCUUCAGUCUGUGAAUCUGAGGAGCAAGAGUUUGGCUAGGGGAGCUAGUCCCGUAACUGCAGGCGCAGUUCUAGUUCUUUACAAGACAGAUGGUAAUUGUAGCUAACAAGUGUGCCCUGAGUGGAAUCCUACCACUAUUUCUACUAUAUUGGCAGGACGGGUGCCAAGUUAUUAGGAGCUAGGCAGCUAAGCCAGUAGUAGUUCAGUUCAGGCGCUGUUCCCAAAUCUAGUUGACUACGUUGUAGCGUAGCGGUACGGGACAGGAAAAGAAUUGAUAGCGAUACACUGAACACAAAGGAAUUUGAUAGACAUAUGUUGAAAGUUCGACAAGUAGCACUGAAUCUACUAUCAGUAGUGAUUUAUAGAAGUUGACUCGCUUAAACGAAGAGAGUGAACAAAGCAUAGCGGAGUGAAGAGAGAAAUGGUUUCAUUUGAUAGCUCUCUCGAUGUCCUUGUUAUCUUUCCUAGGUAGAUUGUGACUUAUUCAUUCUUUCUCGCUGACUCUAGUUUCCCCGACGUGGAUCCUUUCUCGGUUAGGGCCUCCCCUAUCCGUAUUCAUUGAUCGCUCUCUUUGCCGCGAAUCUCGUCAUGGUGGUCCUUCGCCUUGCAAUAUUCUUUGUUCCUCCUUCCUAGGCUUGAUUGGUACAUCAAGCAUAUCGACAUCUUGCUUCUUCGGUUUGGUACACAUAUCUAUCAAUGAAUAGAAAGUAAUAGAAUUCAUUCCUGCGUACUCGCAUAUUGAAUUGUGCCUUCGGACCAUCAAAGAAAGGUCCAGGGUCCAGAGUCCGCAGGAUUUAUUCGGAGUCCGGAGGAUUUAUCCGUAGGACCAUCCAUAUAGAGGGAAGUAGUUCAGAGGAUUUAUUCGUAGGACCAUCCGUAAUUAACAGAAGUAGGACUAUCCAUUAUCCUCCGUCCGGAGUUCGCAUGAUUCUUACCCGUAGGACUAUCCAUAUGGAAGUAGGACUAUCCGUAAUUAACCGAAGUUUGCACCUCUUGAUUAUGAAUCAUAUAUAUUGAUUUUGACCGGAGCAAAGAUCAUUGCCCACAGAGCGACGCAAAGAAUAUUGCGACCUGUGGAUUCAUUGAGGCGGUGAAGAAUUGCCAUUUUAUGAGCUUGUAAGACCCCUCCGGAGGAGAAGGAUAGGGGAGCAAGGUUCAAAGUGGUUUUCAAAGUCAGGGCUAUCCCUUACUAUUGAGGGCUUUGACCACCUAGACACUCGCCUACUCAGUCGCAAGGAUCAAAGAAUUUGAUUGACAAAGAAUAUUGCGAUUUUACCGAGUCCUUCGUCUCGCAAUAUUCUUUGCGCCUUCGGUGAGUCAGGUGUUAAUAUGGAUAAGUCCCUUGGACUGAUAGCGUCCAAAAUAGGCGAGGGCGGACGGGCUAUAAGUAGGCCGUUUGCUAUUGCUAUAAGGGCUGCUUGCCUUUAUACAGCUUGGCUUCGCUAUCGCUCAUGACUUGUAUUGUGGUCGGCCUAAAAAGUAGUCUUCCUACCAUAAAAAAAUGCCUAUUAUCUGGUUCGUUAAGCUUCGCCAAAAGCAAGACGAGGGCGCUUUGCUUCGUAGACAAGGCUCGUCUAGUACUUGACUUACGAGUUCGUGUAGGAUUUCCCCUCUCUCUCUAAAGGGGCUUUUAUGCACGGAACUCCUUGUCUACUAAAGAAGCGUUCGAGCGAGCGAGUUCAGCCUGAAAUUGAGUGGUCUCCCUCCUUUUCCCUCACUGAAAUAUUAUGUCUUUCAUUUCCACUUAAGCUUCCCCGCUUUGAGGGAUUAAUUGAUUGGAUACCUGAGAACCAUAAUCUUUCCUAGGAACUGCUUCUACGACGAUAGGCGUAAAGGCAUGAUUAAUUCCACAAAUCUCACUGCACUGACCAUAGUAAACUCCUUCUCAUUGUACCAAAAUGGAGAUCUGAUUUAAACGGCCAGGUACAACAUCACAUUUGACACCUGAGGAUGGUACAACCCAACUAUGAGGUACAUCAGCAGGUGUUACAAUAAUACGUAGAUGAGUUUUGGCUGGUAGAACCAUUCUAUUGUCCACUUCUAAUAAACGUGAUUGACCCAAUUCUAAAUCAUCUUCUGGAAUCGUAUAACUGUCAAAAGUGAGUGACUGUUCAUCGGAACUAUUAUAGUCAGAAUACUCAUAAAUUCGAUACCAUUGAUGUCCUAUAGCUUUGAUAGUCAUGGCUGGAUCUACUACUACCUCGUCCAUUUAGUAUAAAGAGAGCAAAGGAUGAUAUAACAAUGAACACCGGAAUGAUACUAGGAAAAAUGGUCCAAAGAAUCUCGAUAGUAGUUCCAUGAACAAUCCUUUGCGGUAUUUUCUUUUGAGAAUAGUGGAAAUGCCAUAAAGCGCGAACCAAGAUCCGUGAUACGAAAACAAAAAUCAGAAUGAGGAAGAAAAAGAUAUCGUGAUGUAAGUCUAUUAUUCCUUGCAUCAUAGGUGUUGCUGCGUCUUGAGAUCCUAAUUGCCAUGGUUCCGCUACAUCACAAGGAGCAAUUGUGAGGAAUAGCCAUUUGAGCACAAUCAUUUUCCAUUGUUUAUUCUUUGACCCGUCUGUCCUUCGGUCUUAAUACUCCUAACGUCGAAUAAGAAGCUGGAGGCUGGGUCCAGGUGCAAAGAAUAUUGCGUCCAUUAGAUCCAUUGAAUUAGGCGGAGGACUUUAUCAAGCUUAGCUUUCUGGAUUCUUCCGCGGAGUGGGGCUUUCUCUAGUAGGUCUGGAGGCUCAAAGAAUGAUCGAAGGCUCCGGACCAUAAAGAAGAGAGACGGAGGACUUCCAUUGACUUUUUCUUCCUUUCACUUCUAACUUCAAACCUUUCAUAUGAAACCUUGAAAAUAAAGGAGGGAGCGGACUACGGAGGCCAUAAGUUUGAGUUCCUCAGAUGGAUAAAAACAAGUCCUCCGGACGCUACGUAGUCUUGUCUCCUUCCCCACGUAGUGGGCAUUGACUUCUUCAUUGAUUUUCUUCUAUCUCCCACGUAGCGGUUGAAUAUGAAAGGAAGCCCACGGAGCUGAAGACGGAGCGGGAUAAUAAAGAAGAAAGCUCAAAAGGAGGGAGCAGACCUCAAUGAACAAGGGGAGGACUCAUUUUCAUCCUUAUGGAAGAAAAAUCUCUUUUUUUAUCUAAAAGACGUAGAAGGAGGCUCAAUGUCUAAUCUUUCUCUCAAAUCAAUAUCCCCCGGUGCAAAUAUUCUAGCAAUAUUCUCAAUAUGAAAAGAGCCUUUCUUCUUUUCUUAGAUAAAUGCGCUUCGUAGAUUAUGCUGAAGGAGGAGUGGGCCAUGAUCUUUGCUCCUUAAUUUCCCUAAUGGAUAGUCAUCUGGACCUUUCUUUUUAGUUCUUUGCGCUCGUCAACGCAUAUUUCAUUGCGCCUUCGCCUUCAAUGAAAUCCAUAAAUAAAUAAGGGUAGAUUUCAGACUCAAGAGGAGGGUUCCUUAUCAAUAUCAAUGAGACGAAUGGGCUUUCUUUUACAUUCUACAGGUCCGAAGGACUAUCCAUAUUUAUUAACCUGUCUGUCCUUCGCCUAACUAGUUCAUAUAGACCUUUGUUUUUCUUCCGCGGUCACUAAUAUGGAUAGUCCGGAGGACCUCCUUCAGCAUAAUCUAUGAAUGAUCGGAGCAAAGAAUAUUGCGGAAAAGAAGAAAGGAGUGCAAGCGAAAACUAAUGGAUUGAAUAGUCCUUCGGACGGACUACCGCACCGUGGGGGAUAUUGUUGAGAAAGAAUAUUGAAAAAGAAUGAUCGAAGAAUAUUGAAAAAGGACGGAGGAUAGGCUUUCUUUGAACAAUGUGGAUGUAUCAAAGAUUCCACAGGUUAAUAUGGUAGAUUUCAGACUAGUCCUUUGCCUUGUAUCUGGAGACUAUUCGCUCUUCUAAUAGACAGAGGAGAGGUUCAAAGAAUAUUAAGAAUACUCGUGCAAGCGCAAUCAAUGAACAAGGUGAAAAGAAUAAAAAAAAGGUGGUCGAUGAUCAGGAAGAAAAAGCAAAAGUCUAUCCCCU